GGUGUGAAUGUGCUUGGUAAGUUUGAAUGCAUGUAGCAAAGUUUUGGAUGAGCUUGACUUUAAGAAAAGAGAAGAUAGAAGAUAGAAGAUGGGAGUCAGCCUAGAUGUCUGGCUAUAAUACGAGAACACUAGUAUCAAGGGAGCAUGGGUUUCUCGUACAGACCAUUGAGUAUGCAGAGCAGCGGAUACCAGUCCUCAAUGAGUACUGUGUGGUGUGUGAUGAGCCCCAUGUCUUUCAGAAUGGGCCAAUGCUCCGGG